GACGAACGCUGGCGGCGUGCUUAACACAUGCAAGUCGAACGAAGUCUUCGGACUUAGUGGCGGACGGGUGAGUAACACGUGGGAACGUGCCUUUAGGUUCGGAAUAACUCAGGGAAACUUGUGCUAAUACCGAAUGUGCCCCUCGGGGGAAAGAUUUAUCGCCUUUAGAGCGGCCCGCGUCUGAUUAGCUUGUUGGUGGGGUAAUGGCCCACCAAGGCGACGAUCAGUAGCUGGUCUGAGAGGAUGACCAGCCACAUUGGGACUGAGACACGGCCCAAACUCCUACGGGAGGCAGCAGUGGGGAAUCUUGCGCAAUGGGCGAAAGCCUGACGUAGCCAUGCCGCGUGGAUGAUGAAGGUCUUAGGAUUGUAAAAUCCUUUCACCGGUGAAGAUAAUGACUGUAGCCGGAGAAGAAGCCCCGGCUAACUUCGUGCCAGCAGCCGCGGUAAGAC
rnacentral:rRNA from 1 species